UUUUCCACCUAGCUUGACAGGCUAGGUAAAGGAAUAAGGCAACAACAGAAAAGGAACUCCUGUUGGGGUUGAAACUCACCCAGCUGCAAAGCAAACCCUGAUGACCGGGGCUACACCAUGCUGCCAAAAUGCUGCUGCCCCAGCAUUGGAUGGGGCAGGAGAGUGGUCUUGAUUCUGGAGCAGCUCAAGAGGUUGGGAGGAUGCUUCAUGCUCAUGGGAAGACUUUGUGACUUGGCCAGGCCCCACGUUACCUUGAGGGGAUUGGGAGGAUUCAUACACUGAAGGUAACCAGAUGGAGGAUGCAGAGAACUUCAGCUGCAAUCAGGAGCCUGCCAGUGGAGUUUCAGAUAAUAGAAAUCUCAAAGACUAAUCUCAGCAUCCCAGAUGGCCGCCUCCAGGAGCAGCAUAAACCCUUUUCCCCAACACAUUUCCUUUUGCAGCCUUGCCAGUGAGCCAAAGCAAAGACAGUCAAGAUUUUCCCCUCAUGGUUCCUAUUAAUUUAAUAACUUUAGGGGUUCAUCCUUCUGCUUCUGAAAGGGUUUUUUCUUGCCAUUGAGUAUUGCCCAUCCGAUGGCUCUCCUAGGGUCUGGUGUAAAUGCUGCCCAGCAAUGGGUGUUUUCUGGUGCUGCUCAACAGAAU